ensembl:lncRNA
UCAUACUUACCUGGCAGGGGAGAUACCAUGAUCACGAAGGUGGUUUUCCCAGGGCGAGGCUUAUCCAUUGCACUCCGGAUGUGCUGACCCCUGCGAUUUCCCCAAAUGUGGGAAACUCGACUGCAUAAUUUGCGGGCAACUCAUACUUACCUGGCAGGGGAGAUACCAUGAUCACGAAGGUGGUUUUCCCAGGGCGAGGCUUAUCCAUUGCACUCCGGAUGUGCUGACCCCUGCGAUUUCCCCAAAUGUGGGAAACUCGACUGCAUAAUUUGUGGUAGUGGGGGACUGCAUCGGAGGAGGUGCUGGGAGUGGGGUGAUGCUUAAGGGUAGGUCCAAAGAAAACUAACCAAAAAGCACACAGGAUGCAGAUCGAGGAUGAGAUUUCCUUGCUCACAUAUGAGCCAUCUUCAGCAUUACUGACUGGGGCAUAGACAUGGAUUACUGUGAUACUGAAUGGUUUGCCUUGGAAACGAACAGAGAUCAUUCUGUUGUUUUUGAGAUUGCAUCCAAGUGCUGCAUUUUGGACUCUUUUAUUGACUAUGAUGGCUACUCCAUUUCUUCUAAGGGAUUCUUGCCCACAGUAGUAAGAUAUAAUGCUCAUCCGAGUUAAAUUCACCCACUCCAGUCCAUUUUAGUUUGCUGAUUCCUAAAAUGUUGAUGUUCACUCUUGCCAUCUCCUGUUUGACCGCUUCC